AUGUGGACCACAUAUAUGAAAGCGAUAUCUGGUGUAAAUUUCUUGCCUCCAGCUUAUCUUCCUCUGGGGCAAAGUAGCCCUGCAUUGGCGACACGCAGCGAAUCCACCGAACAAGGAUGGGAGAGGAUUACAGCCCAGCACAGGCCAAGGGAAGAGACACGCAGACGCACACGCGUGCCAACCAAAAAAAUACCGAAGAAGACCGAGCCGCCGCCCGCCGCCGCACCGAGAUUGCUGCUUUCCGCCGUGACGACAGCCGCUGGAGAUGAAGCAAAGGGCCAGCGCAACUCUCAGUCUCCGGUCUUGUCCAGAUCAGGCCAGUGGUUUUGUGGGUCAGAGAAAGUUACUACUCAAGAUCACACACUGAGAGCAGUAUAA
rnacentral:rRNA from 1 species